UACGAAGGGUGCAAGCGUUAAUCGGAAUUACUGGGCGUAAAGCGUGCGCAGGCGGCUUUGCAAGACAGAUGUGAAAUCCCCGGGCUCAACCUGGGAACUGCAUUUGUGACUGCAUGGCUAGAGUGCGGCAGAGGGGGAUGGAAUUCCGCGUGUAGCAGUGAAAUGCGUAGAUAUGCGGAGGAACACCGAUGGCGAAGGCAAUCCCCUGGGCCUGCACUGACGCUCAUGCACGAAAGCGUGGGGAGCAAACAGG
rnacentral:rRNA from 1 species